rnacentral:rRNA from 1 species
ACGGGUGAGUAAUACAUCGGAACGUGUCCUGGAGUGGGGGAUAGCCCGGCGAAAGCCGGAUUAAUACCGCAUACGCUCUGAGGAGGAAAGCGGGGGAUCUUCGGACCUCGCGCUCAAGGGGCGGCCGAUGGCAGAUUAGCUAGUUGGUGGGGUAAAGGCCUACCAAGGCGACGAUCUGUAGCUGGUCUGAGAGGACGACCAGCCACACUGGGACUGAGACACGGCCCAGACUCCUACGGGAGGCAGCAGUGGGGAAUUUUGGACAAUGGGGGCAACCCUGAUCCAGCAAUGCCGCGUGUGUGAAGAAGGCCUUCGGGUUGUAAAGCACUUUUGUCCGGAAAGAAAACUUCGCUCCUAAUACGGGUGGAGGAUGACGGUACCGGAAGAAUAAGCACCGGCUAACUACGUGCCAGCAGCCGCGGUAAUACGUAGGGUGCGAGCGUUAAUCGGAAUUACUGGGCGUAAAGCGUGCGCAGGCGGUUCGCUAAGACCGAUGUGAAAUCCCCGGGCUUAACCUGGGAACUGCAUUGGUGACUGGCGGGCUAGAGUAUGGCAGAGGGGGGUAGAAUUCCACGUGUAGCAGUGAAAUGCGUAGAGAUGUGGAGGAAUACCGAUGGCGAAGGCAGCCCCCUGGGCCAAUACUGACGCUCAUGCACGAAAGCGUGGGGAGCAAACAGGAUUAGACACCCUGGUAGUCCACGCCCUAAACGAUGUCAACUGGUUGUCGGGUCUUCAUUGACUUGGUAACGUAGCUAACGCGUGAAGUUGACCGCCUGGGGAGUACGGUCGCAAGAUUAAAACUCAAAGGAAUUGACGGG